UUGACUCUUCAUCUGAAAAUGGGCCUUGAGAAAUGGCUUGGGGGAGGCUAAGCACCAGAGGCUCCUUCAAUGGCGAGCCCUGUCUAUUGCUGGACAUGAAAUUUCAAAGUGUCCCGCCUUACCACAGUAAAGACAGAGGUCAUGGGCCCGGUGCUGCUCCUUCUCCGCUGAGGACAGGAGGCGGCGUCCAAUUUCCAUGGGUUGGGAAGAUGGGGGCGACUAUGAUCUGCUAGCUCUGCAUAAGAUCACCAUCAGAAACGCACAGCAAAGUCCCGCCUCUCCAGAUAAACGAAGGAGUACGCUGACAUAUAGGCUGUGAGCUGGGGUCCCACGGGUGAAAGACCUUUGGUGGUGGUACUACGUCAACGUUUGCCAUGUGGCACUCUUGAAGUGUACGAGUGUGUUAUCUGAGUUCAUGGUGAGGUGUGUGUGUGUGUGGAAGUUUUGUUUUGUUUAUUUGGAAUUUGUGUAAAUUGGUUGUUUAACAUUCCUUUCGUCUGAUCGUGUAUUUUUGUUAUUUUUGUAAUUGUCUGUCACUGGACCUUUUUUACCAGUGAGGACAUUUUCUUUUUGUUAAGUUUGCUUUUGUAAUGUUGGUUUGAGCUGCUAUGAAUGGCUCCUUAGUAUUGAGCCUAUUUUAAGAGAUUUUCUUAAAAUCUUAAAUUCAAGUUUUCAAUAAACGUUGUAUUUUUACAUAAUG